rnacentral:rRNA from 1 species
AAUCAGGUAGGACUACCCGCUGAACUUAAGCAUAUCAAUAAGCGGAGGAAAAGAAACUAACAAGGAUUCCCCUAGUAGCGGCGAGUGAAGCGGGAAGAGCUCAAAUUUGUAAUCUGGCGUCUUUCAGGCGUCCGAGUUGUAAUCUAUAGAAGUGUUUUCCGUGCUGGACCAUGUCCAAGUCCCUUGGAACAGGGUAUCAAAGAGGGUGACAAUCCCGUACUUGACAUGACCACCAGUGCUCUGUGAUACACUUUCUACGAGUCGAGUUGUUUGGGAAUGCAGCUCAAAAUGGGUGGUAAAUUCCAUCUAAAGCUAAAUAUUGGCGAGAGACCGAUAGCGAACAAGUACCGUGAGGGAAAGAUGAAAAGCACUUUGGAAAGAGAGUUAAACAGUACGUGAAAUUGUUGAAAGGGAAACGAUUGAAGUCAGUCGUGUUCAUUGGACUCAGCCGGUUUUCGGUGUAUUUCCUUUGAACGGGUCAACAUCAGUUUUGUCCGGUGGAUAAAGGCAGGAAGAAAGUGGCUCCCUCGGGAGUGUUAUAGCUUUCUGUCACAUACACUGGAGGAGACUGAGGACUGCAGCUCGCCUUUUGGCCGGGGUUCGCCCACGUUCGAGCUUAGGAUGUUGACAUAAUGGCUUUAAACGACCCGUCUUGAAACA